rnacentral:lncRNA from 1 species
CUCAGCUGAGAUCACUGUGUGAUUUCCUGUUAACCUUGUAAUAAUUUAUGGCAAAUCUAAUGUGCCUGCCGCUGGGUGAGCUCAUCCAAAUCCCCUUCUAUUGUCUGAGCCUCAUACCGGGAGAUGUCCUCAGAGGCCCCUGGGAUCAUCGCCGAGUGAUUUAUGGCGCCAGCUUCCCCGAGGAUUGAAGCCAACCCAGUUGGAGGCUCGCCAUGCUCAGGAGAGAUGGCAGCGAAAGAUCUGGUUGGCUGGUUUUAUCCCUGGAGGAGAACAAACCUGAGGAGUGAGGAUUUUCAGAAGCUCAAGCCAGACAGUGUGUUAUAUUUUCUGCUGCUGUGUCCUUAGAGAAAAACCUGCUUGGGUUGCAGAUGGCUCACGGGCAUCUCGAACUUACCAUCAUGUUUAACAUCGACCUCAGGCCUGCUCCUCCACUGCCUGCUUCUCUGGGAAUGGUAACCUCAUCUCCCUGUUGCUGGACUAAACACCUCAGAGUCAUCCGACUGCUUUUUUUCUCUCCUGCCCGUGUCUGACUCAUCAGCAAAUCCUGCUGUUUUUCUCUUCCAAAUACAUCCAGAAUCUGCGGACUUCUCACCACCUCCACCUCUCCCCACCCCAACCAGGUUCCAGCUGCCAUCAUUGCUCGCCUGGACAGCCUGUCAGAGCACAGGAGCCUGGAGGGCCAUUGAAGAGGAGAGGAGCCUGUACGCCCUGUUUCAAGAACCUGAGAGCUGGGCUCAGAAACGGGCAGCGGCUGGACCAAGGUCACACAGCAAGUUGGUUGCUCAGCCAGAGUCAGCACAGGGCGGGGUGAACUCCAAAGCCCCGGGGCCCCAGUGAGGGGGUAGCAUGAGCCAGGUGGAGACUGGGGCAAGGUAGAAACCUCCAGGGCUAGCCAGAGGGAGUGGCCACGAUGCAGCAUCACUGGACUGUAGCCAUAUGGGGGGCGGGCACAGGCCUGAGUAGUGAGGGGGAUCUUCCUGGCCUGCCUUAUACUCGUGUCCCCACAAAAUCCCCCUACAGCCCAGGAGUCACAGGUACCGCCUGGGGGGUCAGCACCGUCCAUGCACAGUGUGUGUGUUGUGCACUGUACAAAGGCACUCACUGAAGAGGCAGUGGGGGUGAUCCCAGGCCUUGCUUGACUACUCAUCCUGGAAGAACUGAUUUUCAUAAUGUAUCCACCCAAAGGGCUCUUUUUUCUUUUCUUUUCUCUUCCUUUCUUGCUCUCUUUCUUUCUAUAUGGCCUUGCUCUGUCACUCAGGCUGGAGUGCAGUGGUGCAAUCAUGGCUUGCUGCAGCCUCAACCUCCCAGGCUCAGGUGAUCCUCCUGCCUCAGCCUCCCGAGUAGCUGGGAUUACAGGUAUGUGCCACCACACCCAACUAGUUUUUAAAAUUUUUUGUAGAGAUGGGGUCUUGCUCUGUUGCCCAGGCUGGUCUUGAAGUCCUGGGCUCAAGAGUCCUGGACUCUUGGUGUUCCCAAAUGCUGGGAUUACAGGCCUGAGCCACCGCGCCCAGCCUGGGGCCUCUUUUUUCUAAUUCCCGCAUGGUGCUGGGUCAGUUUGCGACCCCUAAGAAGCAGAUGCCCAGGUGAGAUUAGACAUGCAGGAGGCUGACUGGGGGAAAGGGCUCUGGGGGGAAAAGGAACGGCGAGGGGGAAGGGAAAUCCUUCAAGCCGUCGUGCUGGGCCAGCCCCUGUGCAGGAGAGAGGGAGGGAAUGAAGUUGGAGUAGGAGGAGCUUCAGGCUGCAGACAGUUCUAAGGUUUUUGCCCCGGCCAAUGGGGAGUCCUGAGGCCAAGAUCCCCUCCCGGAGGGUCCCGCAUGGCGCUGGGAUGGACCUGCCUUUAUUUCCCUUCCUGCUUGCUCAGUGGCAGGAAGCACCCAUGGGGAGCUUGGCGUAACGCAGGUGCAGGUGAUUUAGAGCCCGGCACCUGCCAUACACGCCCCGAGGGGGCCACUUGCAAGGUCACCACAUGUGCCCAUGAAUAUGUUAUUUGCUAGUAGACAAAGUAACUACUAUGUUAGUUAUUUGCUGGAGGCACCCCUGUGCGGGAAGACAGAGUUGGAAACAGUCUUUGUACAAGCCUAAGAGUUCUUUGAGGCAGGGUAGCCGUGCAAGCAGUUUUGCAUUCUGUAUCAUAAUAAAUCUGAAAUUGUUGGCCGGGUGCGGUGGCUCACGCCUGAAAUCCUAGCACUUUGGGAGGCUAAGGCAGGUGGAUCGCUUCAGCUCAGGAAUUCAGCUCAGGACUUUGAGACCACCCUGGGCAACAUGGUGAAACCCUAUCUCUACAAAAAAUACAAAAAUUAGCUGGGUAUGGUGGCAUGUGUCUAUAGUUCCAGCUGACUGGGGAUCUGAGGUGAGAGGAUCAUGUGAGCCCAGGAGGUUGAGGCUGCGGUGAGCCGUGAUUGCGCCACUGCACUCUAGCCUGGGUGACAAAGUGAAACCCUGUCUCAAAAACAUAAAAAUAAAUAAAUACAUCUGAAAUUGUUGCAACAUAAAAAUCGUUUUCUCGCUGUUGUCCUUGAAACUUUCCCUACGCUAUGGUAUGUCGGCCUUCUGCCCGAGGGGGGUACAUGGUCUUGUACAAUGUAUCUGUUUCUCAUUGUUGUGUGACACAUUGCCACAGACUUAGUGGCUUAAAACAACACCCAUUUAUUCUCUUACACUUAUGGAGGUCAGAGGUCCAAAAUGAGUCUCAUGGGAUUAAAAUCAAGGGUUGACAGGGCUGGUUCCUUCCAGAAGCUCCAGAGGAGGAUCUGUUCCUUGCUUCUCCCAGCUCCUGAGGCCACCUGCAUUCCUUGGGCUGUUACCCCUUUUUCCAUCUUAAUCAUCAACAUAGCACGUCUGUCCUCUCUGAACUGUCUCCCUUUUAUAGGGCCCUGUGUGAUUCUGCUGACCCAUCUGGAUAACCCAGGGUCAUCUCCCCGGCUCAAGAUCCUUAACAGAAUCGCAUCUGCCAAGUCCCUUUUGCUAGGCCUGCUCCUUCUGGGAGUCCACAGUUCCUGCUCCUAUGUGGGCAGCAUCCGUUCUCCUGUUGCUGGUACCAGCUUCCCUCCUGCUCUCAGACCACCUGCCACAGGCCAAGCUGACCAUCCUCCCCUCCUCCCCAG